CGCGGCCUAUCAGCUUGUUGGCGAGGUAACGGCUCACCAAGGCAUCGACGGGUAGCUGGUCUGAGAGGACGAUCAGCCACACUGGGACUGAGACACGGCCCAGACUCCUACGGGAGGCAGCAGUAGGGAAUCUUGCGCAAUGGGCGAAAGCCUGACGCAGCAACGCCGCGUGGGGGAUGAAUGCCUUCGGGUUGUAAACCCCUUUCAGCAGGGACGAAAAUGACGGUACCUGCAGAAGAAGCUCCGGCCAACUACGUGCCAGCAGCCGCGGUAAUACGUAGGGAGCGAGCGUUGUCCGGAAUUAUUGGGCGUAAAGAGCUCGUAGGCGGUUCGGUAAGUCGGGUGUGAAAACUCAAGGCUCAACCUUGAGACGUCACUCGAUACUGCUGUGACUUGAGUCCGGUAGAGGAGUGUGGAAUUCCUGGUGUAGCGGUGAAAUGCGCAGAUAUCAGGAGGAACACCAGCGGCGAAGGCGGCACUCUGGGCCGGUACUGACGCUGAGGAGCGAAAGCAUGGGGAGCAAACAGGAUUAGAUACCCUGGUAGUCCAUGCCGUAAACGUUGGGCACUAGGUAUGGGAUCAUAUCAACGGAUUCCGUGCCGUAGCUAACGCAUUAAGUGCCCCGCCUGGGGAGUACGG
rnacentral:rRNA from 1 species